AUGCCUACUCCUGUUAUGGAAUACUUUCAGGUUGUGUGCGGCCGGCGUAAGCGGGCGUUGAUGCGGUCGUACUGGUCGGGUCGGAAAAGAGUAUGCGGGAUGCAACCUCCCUUUCCAAAGGAUUAUAUUCAUUUGCUUAAGGCCACUUCUAGGGGCCGUUCGUACUAUUGCGGCCCGGAUUUGUGUUGCCAGAGGUGCGGGGCUUUAUUUUGGUUUCGUGAAGGAUCUGUACACCAUGCUGAAGCAACUUCUCACUCUCCUAUUUACACGGGAUGUUGUUGGGCGGGCAUGAUUUCGCUGCCGAAGUUUGGUGACUAG
rnacentral:rRNA from 1 species